GGUGGCACAAGCAGAAACGUAGAGCCUUCACCAUGACAAGCACACACCCCCAAUGUAAGCUGCAACAACCCCACAGCGGACUAAAAGCGCCAAGCCCACCAGGACAACGCCGAUCGACUGCUAAAGCGCAACUUUACCACCCAGAUACCUGGCACCUAGCCAUAUCUACACCUCUGAAGUCUCAGGAGACAGGGGCUCCCGGAGACUGCAUCUGGCGACCGGAAGGGAUCGGAUGAACACAGACUGGAGACCGGAGCCUGCCAGGCAUGUCUCGUUACUGCAGGACUUUCACAGUAUGCCUUAUACC